UGCANGUCGANCGAGUUUCCGGGCUUGCUCGGAAAUUAGUGGCGAACGGCUGAGUAACGCGUAGGUGACCUACCCCGUAGUGUGGAAUAACUGCCCGAAAGGGUAGCUAAUACCGCAUGUUGAGCCGACAUCAAUGUCGUCUCCAAAGCAGAAAUGCGCUAUGGGCGGGGCCUGCGUUCGAUUAGCUAGUUGGUGGGGUAAUGGCUCACCAAGGCGACGAUCGAUAGGUGGUCUGAGAGGACGAUCACCCAGACUGGGACUGAGACACGGCCCAGACUCCUACGGGAGGCAGCAGUCGGGAAUUUUGCGCAAUGGGGGAAACCCUGACGCAGCAAUACCGCGUGUGGGAUGAAGGCCUUCGGGUCGUAAACCACUUUUUUCGGGGACGAUAAUGACGGUACCCGAAGAAUAAGCCACGGCUAACUACGUGCCAGCAGCCGCGGUAAUACGUAGGUGGCAAGCGUUGUCCGGAUUUACUGGGCGUAAAGCGCGCGCAGGCGGUGAAUGAAGUCGAAAGUGAAAGCCCCGAGCUCAACUCGGGAACUGCUUUCGAAACCAGUUCACUUGAAGGUGGAAGAGGGAAGUGGAAUUCCGAGUGUAGCGGUGGAAUGCGUAGAUAUUCGGAGGAACACCAGAGGCGAAGGCGACUUCCUGGUCCAAUCUUGACGCUGAGGCGCGAAAGCUAGGGGAGCAAACAGGAUUAGAUAUCCUGGUAGUCCUAGCUGUAAACGAUGGAUACCAGGUGUUGGANGUUUUAACCCCUUCGGCGCCGCAGCUAACGCAUUAAGUAUCCCGCCUGGGGGAGUACGGCCGCAANGCUNAAACUCAAAGGAAUUGACGGGGCCCCGCACAAGCAGCNGNAGCG
rnacentral:rRNA from 1 species